CUUGUCUCAUUGAUGAAUUCUUUAUUUGUUUUCUAUGGAUGCAUACGUAGUAAGCAUAUCUAGGAUUCUAACGCUAUGAAUAUGUGUGUGCCUGCCCUUGUCCAAUGAGGACCUACAUAUGUUAUAGAGUAGUCCUUGUUAAUUGCAAUUAACAUGUGAACCAAUUUCUAGGAUAAGUAAGACAACGCCAGUACCUACAAUGCCUUGUGAUGACUCAAACUCUUUUCGUUCUUAAUGAUUUCUACUUAUUAAAUCUAUGAACAGACCAUUCUAGAUUGCAUGUUAGGGGCUAAGUUAAGUUGAAAACGUCAUUCUCUUAACAUACUACGUAAGAAAGACUAAUAGGUUGAGUUCUAAUAUUGAGCCAACUUGAGCAUCUUCAUCCGGAAAUAAAAGGAAUUUGAAUGAAACAUAACAUGUUUGCAUGAUUAUUUGGUGGUGGAUAGCAAUUCCCCUAACUCGUUUUUCUUAAUUUGUGAACUACUUAAAAUUUGUUUCUGUCCUAUUUUUGUUCAAUUUAAUUUAAAUAGCAAAUCAACUCCAAAAAUCCCAAACAUUUGUAGAAGUGUAGCUCUGUGUGUCUAGUGUCUUCAUUUAAAAUUUCGUAGAAUUUCGAUAAGUGUAAGUCGGUCUAAUAAUUAUUUUUCUGUGGCUGGUCAGUAGGGACAGCAACCAGUUUUUGUGACAUUUUAAGUAGUUAGAUAAAACAAUCUUCUGCGGGAAAGACCCUUAUUUUCAUAUGCUACAAUUGACAAAUCUUAGUGUUAAUAAGGAAAAUCAAUAGGACAUUUGUGUCACUUUGUGGUGUGCUUUUAAUCCUAUCAAAACACACGAAAAUAGCUUAAAACACUAUAAUAAACACAAACAAACUAUGAAAAUGCAAGAAAACAAGCUAACUAAGUCUCAUAAAUAUGCUCAUAUCAAUGAGGUUAUUGAAGAAUCAACUGAUUGUUAGUUAUUUUGAUGAUGCUUUUUAUUUUUAGCUCUCUUUGCUUGUUGUUUAAUGCAUGCUAUUUGCAAACUAAUGAAUUUUGUUAAUUGCUUUAGUUAUAUGUUUUGCUUUCUCAUAUCAAUAUGUUGUUAUAAAAUAUUUUAGUAUUUUCUUAAAAAAUUUACGUCAAGGAUGGUCCCGUUUAUUCCUUUUUGCACAGAAUCCCGUUUAUCUCAGCCAAAAUACUGGUAAUUAUAAGAAAGGCUGUAAACGUGAUAACAUUCUUGUCCCAUGUAUAUAUAAGCAAAUAAAUCACUAAAACAUCUUUUGGCAUUCAAAAUCCAAAGAUAUAUGUACUUUGAUGUCUUGUAUUGUUGACCAGAACCUCUGUCUUGGAUUAAUUGUCGAUAAUUCCCAUAUCGUUACAAACUGUGGUUUGUGAUCCGAACCAUGGAUUGUUUAACAGGUCAAAUCUCCACCAUCAUUAUGGAGUUGGUAUGUUAGUUGAGGUUAGAAUUACGUACAUGCAUAAUUAAGAUAUAUUUUAUUAUAUUGCCUGCUAAUUAACAUGCAAAGCCUUGGCCCCAUGUGGAUAUAAACUGAGAUACAUGAAUGAAGUUGCAAUAGUUAAAUAUUAAUUCUAAGCAAAACCUGAACAACAAAACUCUUAAAGUAGGCAUGCAUUCAAACAGCUUCAACUCUUAAUUUUUCAUAGAUGACAUAGCAAGAGUCACAUGAUAAUUAUAUAUGUAAUCACGUACGUACAUACAUAUAGUUAAUAUAAUGGAAGCAACCACUCAAUUAUGGGCAGAAACAACCUUCAACUAUCACUUUCUUGAUCUAAGAUUCAUAUAGCUGAUCAAUCUCAUGUAGUGAAUAAGGCUUUGUUGUUGUCAUUAUUGUAUACAACUAUAUUAGUAUUUGUAGUAUCAAACUCGCUAUUUAUGGGAGGUGAACCUAAAACCAACCGCUUAGAAGUAGAAAAAAAAAUAC
rnacentral:lncRNA from 1 species